UCUGGGUGAACAAACGAGAUUUAUGCCGGUGUCAAUAUGACAAUAUCCUGUACCAACGUCCCGUAUCAUGAUUUCAACGCAUAUUUAUGCUUUAAUUAUAGAAAACAGAAUGUGUGACAGACAUUUUUGGGGAAAAGAACUGGUAAAAAGUUCACUGUCGUAUUCUUUGCAUCAAGAGCGGAUGUCGGAUAAGAAUCUUCCCUAUGGACCAGAUACCCUGGGGACUCGAAUUGCAUGCAGUAUUUUAGUAGCAUUUAGGAUCACAGUAAGAAAAGCAAAGCAGCCAGUUAUAUCACGUGAACGGCUUGUAUAAUAUAUCGAGUCGAAUAGGUGCGCUGACACGCAAUGCUUGAAUGUGUUUUAUGUUACGUGACGGUGUAUUGGUUGAACAUUCGAGACGUUAGAUUACAUUGUCUACCUAGCUAACAUCGUCGUAUCCACCAACGUAUGUGACAUUAUGUGCUAUAAUAUGAUAUGUGGUAGUUGGUAAACGCCAACGGACGUGGGGUGGACAGAAGCGACAUUUGAAUUCGUGGUAACUUCGUAGAAAAGUAAAUAUGCUCUUUUAGUGCGGUCUGCGUAGUAAUAUCAGAUACGAGCUGACCCUGUCUCGUAUAUGGAAGUCCAACGAUUUCUCACCGGCCUGUUACAGUUGUUAAGUCCAUUCUACUUUGUCGAUGAUAAUCAUGGAAUAAAGUGACGCUUGUCAAUAUCUUGAACUUGGAUCGGAAUAGUGCAGGCUUAACUUCCGCAGUGGGCUAAAAACCCAGGACAUCAACAAAGGUCAUUGUACAAACGAUCCGGAUGGAGCACAUCGCGCGGAAAGAGCUGUGGACAUCAGCGAGGUCCCCUUGAUAGGGAAAACGAUUUCUGAGACAAAAAAAGAGGAAAGCGAGUAUUGCGAAGAACUCGAUGGGUCUUACGACAAGGUAUAUAGUGCUCUCAAGCAGAAAGAUAAAGUUCAGGGCAUCAAAGUAAAAAGCCCUGAUUCAACUGACAAACAAACUGAUUUAAAAGUUGUGUAUGAUUCUAGAAGUUUGAAUCUAUCGGAUAGGCAGGAGUCCUACUUAGAUCUUGCCGUCGACAUCGACUACGAGAGUGCACUGGAUCAAAAAACUAUCGAAGAACUCUGCCAAAAAUUCAAAGGAUUGAGUUUCAAGUCGAAUGAGGAAGUGACCUAUCCAGAUGUUAACACCUCAUUGAAUCUAAAGGCGACGGAAGGCGCUCGGUAUAGUCUGACCUCCGAAGCUCCCAAGGACACCUGUUGCGUCUACAAUAUCGACGUGGAAAUCAGGUCGGACAGCAGUCAGGCUGGUGGAAACUGCUAUGAUCAUAUUAUCUAUUCGAUUGCCAUAGUGCUAAUCGUACUGAUAUUAUUAUCAGUUACAGUAGUGUUUCUGGAGUUGCGAUGAAGCCGAAAUUUUCAGCUAUCACAGCAAAUACAGAGCACAGCUGAACAAAUGCAUCGGUUCAUUUGUAGCAGACGCGCUUAAUUUUGUUCUUCGUAAUACUAAUGCCACUAUUGUUUACCCCAGACAGAGCUCUGAGAAAACUACAUUAAGUCGUAUUUGUAAUGCUGUAACAUUUGCCAGUUGUAUCUGUUGACAUUGUACUGCUCUCAGUGAGAUGAAUACGCAAGCUGACCAUUAUCAGACCGUGGAACGUAUUAAAAGAGCUUUCAUCUUGUGCUCCUGGAAAUCCUGACUACUGACAUAUUCCAUAAAGAUAAUAACAUCCGUUGAUACCUAAAGCUUUCAUUUUAAAUCGUUGUAGAUCAAUUUAUGUCGAUAUGUCUUUAAGAUUAAAAAUAAUAAAAGAUAUUGUCGGUUAGACAUUCGCACAAACGAAGAACGUAGUCAUUGAAAAUUACCAUAGGUCAGGCGCGAAAAUUUGAAAUGCAAUACUGACCUAGGACCGGAUUUGGCCAUAACGAUCGUGACACGCUUCGUCUGGUCAAGAUCGUGAUUUGUGCGUGAAACUACUAAGCGCAUGUAUGAGAAUGCCGUGUAAAAAUCUGCUGAUCGCUUUUUUGACGAUCCGCCAUGAGUGCCCAUCGUUCAUCCCAACGUCUAUGCCAGAGGGUAACUGAACAGAUUGUCUGAGUUGCUUCUCGAAAGCAACACAUGUUUCUAAGCGCCCAUCGCGUGUAAGCAUUUCAACAGGAUAAUGCAUCUUACAACACUCACUGUUAAGACAAUAGCUUUCCCUUGCUUUGCCUCCCAUAGGACGAUUAUUCCUCUAUUAGGUUACAGUUACCCACUUGCAUUUCCUGUUAGGAACUUAUUUAGGUGUUUAUAUAUUUAUUAUAUUGAUUGCUAAAAUAUGUAGUCAUGUCGACAAAGCUUAGAAUAGACCGAGUAGAGUCUAUUAUAGGUCAAAAGCAAACGUACUGUAUCUGUUAUCUUGUUGAGGGGCAACUAGAAGAAAUUCAUGAUUCAUGAAAGAUUAUCAUUAGUAAUGACUUCAUACGCGAUCUAUCGUCUACUUAACUGGAAAUAAAUAUUCUUGUAGUGGUUCGCUAUUAUGGCAACAGACCAUCGUACCUCGAUGUUUUCUUAUUCGCUGCGCGUAUUAAAUAUUGCCGAGCGAAUCUUCAAGGGCCGAAUCAGGUUUUCCGUGGCGCGUCCAAGUUAAAACGAUCGAGUGAAGCCAAAUAGUCAAGAGUUUCCAGGACGUCGUAUAGUUUUUGCUAACUAGAAAAGUAUGAUAUCUUUAUUUACAUCUAGCUACGUAUCGCUUUUGUUAGCCAAUGUAAUGUAAUUUUACGUAACACUGUAUAGUUAUGUAGUACUUCGUUGUACGGUAGUGAAUAUAGCCGUUGCGUUUCAUGG